AACGCGAAGAACCUUACCUACCCUUGACAUCCUGUGGAUUCUGAAGAGAUUCGGAAGUGCCGAAAGGAACACAGAGACAGGUGCUGCAUGGCUGUCGUCAGCUCGUGUUGUGAGAUGUUGGGUUAAGUCCCGUAACGAGCGCAACCCUUGUCCUUAGUUGCCAGCAAGUUAAGUUGGGGACUCUAAGGAGACUGCCGGUGAUGAACCGGAGGAAGGCGGGGACGACGUCAAGUCAUCAUGGCCUUUAUGGGUAGGGCUACACACGUGCUACAAUGGGUCGUACAGAGAGUAGCCAACCCGCGAGGGGGAGCCAAUCUCUUAAAGCGUCUCGUAGUCCGGAUUGGAGUCUGCAACUCGACUCCAUGAAGUUGGAAUCGCUAGUAAUCGCGAAUCAGCAACGUCGCGGUGAAUACGUUCCCGGGCCUUGUACACACCGCUAGUC
rnacentral:rRNA from 1 species